CUCUAAGUCUUCAUUGAGGGGGCCGUCUUGACCUGCUCUGUCAAAGUAUGACACAGCUUGUGAACUCUAGGAUUUCUUCUAAAAUGGGGACAUGAGAUUGAUUGGGAACUUUCCGAGACCGCUAGCACAGUAUUACCUGUUCAACCAAUUCUGGUAGGAAAAAUUAGCGGUUGGGUCCCACCUAUUCAAAAUUGAGCAAGCAGAGGUAACGACCGGAUCCCUAACCUUUUGAUUUUCCUAGUUUUCGAGAAGAAGUGCUACAAGGAAGAAAUUUCAGGUUCUGUUUGUCAAAUUGGGUGACCCAUUAUCCACGAAGUCCACCAUUUGACAUUGAAAACCUAUAUUUUUACAAUUAAUCUAGUUGUACAAAACAAGUGUUGACAAAAUCUUGACCCUGGAUUUGAAAUGAUUUAAAAAAGUGUUUUUGAAAUGAUUGGUGUAGAUGUUGUUUUGUAAACCAAUUUUGUCAACUAAUUUUGUACAUGUAACAUGACUAAUAUCUAAAUUAGUCUGUUACGGACAUAAAAAUUGUCUUAUAAUGAUGGCCUAGAAUUUGAAACUCGAUCUAUCUUAUCUUAUUAAGAAUUUAGAAUUUCCUUUUUUCUUUUAAAUUAAGUGCUUGUUUGGGAGAAAUUAUAGUGAAAAGUAGUUGAUCUCAUUAUUGGGUGCACCUACAAGAGAAAAACU
rnacentral:lncRNA from 1 species